CGUGUGGUCUUAUUUCGUUGGUUUCUAGGACCGCCGUAAUGAUUAAUAGGGACAGUCGGGGGCAUCAGUAUUCAAUCGUCAGAGGUGAAAUUCUUGGAUCGAUUGAAGACUAACUACUGCGAAAGCAUUUGCCAAGGAUGUUUUCAUUUAUCAGGAACGAAAGUUAGGGGAUCGAAGACGAUCAGAUACCGUCGUAGUCUUAACCAUAAACUAUGCCGACUAGGGAUCGGACGGUGUUAUUUCUUGACCCGUUCGGCACCUUACGAGAAAUCAAAGUGCUUGGGCUCCAGGGGGAGUAUGGUCGCAAGGCUGAAACUUAAAGAAAUUGACGGAAGGGCACCACCAGGGGUGGAGCCUGCGGCUUAAUUUGACUCAACACGGGGAAACUCA
rnacentral:rRNA from 1 species